rnacentral:rRNA from 1 species
UUAGUUACGGCGAGUGAAGCGGUAAAAGCUCAAAUUUGAAAUCUGGUACUUUCAGUGCCGAGAGAAGUUUGUAGAAUUUGUCUUUGAUUAGGUCCUUGUCUAUGAUCCUGGGAACAGGACGUCAUAGAGGGUGAGAAUCCCGUUUGGCGAGGAUACCUUUUCUCUGUAAGACUUUUUCGAAGAGUCGAGUUGUUUGGGAAUGCAGCUCAAAGUGGGUGGUAAAUUCCAUCUAAAGCUAAAUAUUGGCGAGAGACCGAUAGCGAACAAGUACAGUGAUGGAAAGAUGAAAAGAACUUUGAAAAGAGAGUGAAAAAGUACGUGAAAUUGUUGAAAGGGAAGGGCAUUUGAUCAGACAUGGUGUUUUUUGCAUGCACUCGCCUCUCGUGGGCUUGGGCCUCUCAAAAAUUUCACUGGGCCAACAUCAAUUCUGGCAGCAGGAUAAAUCAUUAAGAAUGUAGCUACUUCGGUAGUGUUAUAGCUUUUUGGAAUACUGUUAGCCGGGAUUGAGGACUGCGCUUCGGCAAGGAUGUUGGCAUAAUGGUUAAAUGCCGCCCGUCUUGAACCACGGACC